AAGGCAGCAGUGGGGAAUAUUGCACAAUGGGCGCAAGCCUGAUGCAGCCAUGCCGCGUGUAUGAAGAAGGCCUUCGGGUUGUAAAGUACUUUCAGUCGUGAGGAAGGUGUUAAGGUUAAUAACCUUAGCAAUUGACGUUAGCGACAGAAGAAGCACCGGCUAACUCCGUGCCAGCAGCCGCGGUAAUACGGAGGGUGCGAGCGUUAAUCGGAAUUACUGGGCGUAAAGGGCACGCAGGCGGUUAAUUAAGUUGGAUGUGAAAUCCCCGGGCUUAACCUGGGAAUGGCAUUCAAGACUGGUUAGCUAGAGUCUUGUAGAGGGGGUAGAAUUCCAUGUGUAGCGGUGAAAUGCGUAGAGAUGUGGAGGAAUACCGGUGGCGAAGGCGGCCCCUGGGACAAAGACUGACGCUCAUGUGCGAAAGCGUGGGGAGCAAACAGGAUUAGAUACC
rnacentral:rRNA from 1 species